UACGAAGGGGGCUAGCGUUGCUCGGAUUGACUGGGCGUAAAGGGCGCGUAGGCGGUUCGUACAGUCAGACGUGAAAUUCCUGGGCUCAACCUGGGGGCUGCGUUUGAUACGUGCGGGCUUGAGUGCGGAAGAGGGUCGUGGAAUUCCCGGUGUAGCGGUGAAAUGCGCAGAUAUCAGGAGGAACACCGGUGGCGAAGGCGGGUCUCUGGGCAGUAACUGACGCUGAGGAGCGAAAGCGUGGGGAGCAAACAGG
rnacentral:rRNA from 1 species